rnacentral:rRNA from 1 species
AUUGAACGCUGGCGGCAGGCUUAACACAUGCAAGUCGAACGAGUGGCGCACGGGUGAGUAAUGUCUGGGAAACUGCCUGAUGGAGGGGGAUAACUACUGGAAACGGUAGCUAAAACCGCAUAGCAUCGGAUGAGCCCAGAUGGGAUUAGCUAGUAGGUGGGGUAAAGGCUAACCUAGGCGACGAUCCAUAGCUGGUCUGAGAGGGUGACCGGCCACACUGGAACUGAGACACGGUCCAGACUCCUACGGGAGGCAGCAGUGGGGAAUAUUGCGCAAUGGGCGAAAGCCUGAUGCAGCCAUGCCGCGUGUAUGAAGAAGGCCUUCGGGUUGUAAAGUACUUUCAUCGGGGAGGCGUUACCCGCAGAGGAAGCACCGGCUAACUCCGUGCCAGCAGCCGCGGUAAUUC